rnacentral:rRNA from 1 species
AAUCAACGCUGGCGGCAUGCCUAACACAUGCAAGUCGAACGGGAAAGUGGGAGCAAUCCCAUGAGUAUAGUGGCGCACGGGUGAGUAACACGUGACUAACCUACCCUCGAGUGGGGAAUAACCCCGGGAAACCGGGGCUAACACCGCAUAAUACCGCAAGGUCAAAUGCGCAAGCAGCUUGAGGAGGGGGUCGCGGUUGAUUAGCUAGUUGGUAGGGUAAUGGCCUACCAAGGCAGNGAUCAAUAGCCGGCCUGAGAGGGCGCACGGCCACACUGGAACUGAAACACGGUCCAGACUCCUACGGGAGGCAGCAGUGGGGAAUUUUGCGCAAUGGGGGAAACCCUGACGCAGCAAUGCCGCGUGGAGGAUGAAGUCCUUUGGGAUGUAAACUCCUUUCGAUCGGGGAAGAUAAUGACGGUACCGGAAGAAGAAGCCCCGCUAACUCUGUGCCAGCAGCCG